AGAACGAACGCUGGCGGCAGGCCUCAAACAUGCAAGUCUAGGGGGACGUAGCAAUACGUCACCGGCGGACGGGUGCGUAACACGUGGGAAUGUACUUACUGGUUCGGAACAACUCAGGGAAACUUGAGCUAAUACCGAAUGUGCCCGAAAGGGGAAAGAUUUAUCGCCAGUAAAUCAGCCCGCGUCCGAUUAGCUAGUUGGUGGGGUAAAGGCUCACCAAGGCGACGAUCGGUAGCUGUUCUGAGAGGAAGAUCAGCCACACUGGGACUGAGACACGGCCCAGACUCCUACGGGAGGCAGCAGUUGGGAAUCUUGGACAAUGGGGGAAACCCUGAUCCAGCCAUGCCGCGUGAGUGAUGAAGGCCUUCGGGUUGUAAACUCUUUCGACGGGGACGAUAUGACGGUACCGUAGAAGAGCUCCGGCUAACUUCGCGCCAGCAGCCGC
rnacentral:rRNA from 1 species